rnacentral:rRNA from 1 species
GAUGAACGCUGGCGGCGUGCCUAAUACAUGCCAGUCGAGCGAACAGACGAGGAGCUUGCUCCUCUGACGUUAGCGGCGGACGGGUGAGUAACACGUGGAUAACCUACCUAUAAGACUGGGAUAACUUCGGGAAACCGGAGCUAAUACCGGAUAAUAUAUUGAACCGCAUGGUUCAAUAGUGAAAGACGGUUUUGCUGUCACUUAUAGAUGGAUCCGCGCCGCAUUAGCUAGUUGGUAAGGUAACGGCUUACCAAGGCGACGAUGCGUAGCCGACCUGAGAGGGUGAUCGGCCAAACUGGAACUGAGACACGGACCAGACUCCUACGGGAGGCAGCAGUAGGGAAUCUUCCGCAAUGGGCGAAAGCCUGACGGAGCAACGCCGCGUGAGUGAUGAAGGUCUUCGGAUCGUAAAACUCUGUUAUUAGGGAAGAACAAAUGUGUAAGUAACUAUGCACGUCUUGACGGUACCUAAUCAGAAAGCCACGGCUAACUACGUG